rnacentral:tmRNA from 2 species
GGGGGUGACCUGGCUUCGACGUGGGUUACGAAACCGAAGGGGCAUGUCGAGGUGCAGAGCUCCUCGUAAAUCCAACUGCAAACAUUAUAGUUGCCAACGACGACAACUACGCACUCGCAGCUUAAAACCCUGUAGGGUGCCGUCUGACUGAAGCCGUGCUUGUGCGUUCAGUAUCAGGCGUCAUAUCUCACAAGAUCGUGAGGAAGCUUGUCCGGCGCUGAUCCACUAAAACCUUACGGGCUCGCUGAUUGUUUUCCCUGCCGGCCGGGUGACAAGCAGUUAAAAUAAUAGAUCGGCUAAACAUGUAGAACCGACGGCAGAGGACUGACGGACGCGGGUUCGAUUCCCGCCACCUCCACCA